rnacentral:piRNA from 1 species
UGGACUUCGGGAGUCGUUCUUCUGCCUC